CAUAUUCCUCUCUACGCACCCCAGACAAACUGGUCAGAAUUUCAGGUCGCUGAAACAAUUUUUACAGAUUGAAGAAGUGCGGAGAAACACUUAAAGCACAGCAUCAAGAUGAAGUUUCUGGUGGUUCUCCUGUGUGGGCUGGUUCUGGUGAACCUGUGCGUGGCCCAGGACGAAGACUCCUGCUGUGCGGAUCUCGAGGCUAGGUACAACGAAAUCUACAAGAAGAACGACGCGCAAAUCCGCGAAUUCCAGCAACGGUAUUACGCACUGGAGAGAAAAGCUAUUGAGCUGGAGGCCCGCGUGACGGAGUUGGAGGGUGGCGACUGAUCCGACUGUGCCCACCUUCAACAUGGGACGUCACAUCACAGACGAUCCACCGCUUCUAGACAGCCUUCCAGAUCCAUCUACAUGUGCAGCAAAAUUCUACACUACCUGGCAUGGGACACGCCAAAAAGCAGCACU